UACGAAGGUGGCAAGCGUUGUUCGGAUUUACUGGGCGUAACAGGAGCGUAGGCGGUUGGAUAAGCCUCCGUGAAUACUCCACGGCUUAACCUGGAAGUGCGAGGGACUGAUUCAGCGUAGAGGAUGGGAAGAGGAGCGCGGAAUUCCGGUGUAGGCGGUUAGAAAUGCGUAGAUAUCAGGAAGAACACCCGUGGCGAAGGCGGCUCACUGGCCCGUAACUGACGCUCAUGCACGACAGCGUGGGGAUCAAACAGG
rnacentral:rRNA from 1 species